CUCACACUCUGUCUCACUCUGUCUCUCAAAAAUAAAUGUAAAAUACACGCAUUUCCAAGACUCACUGCAAAGAGAAUUUAUUUCAUGACAAUUUUUAUAUUGACGACACGUUGAAAUGACCCGCAUUUCAAUAUAUUAGAUUAACUAUAUGAUGAAAAUUAAUUUCCCCCGCUUCUUUCUUUAAGUGUCGAUAUUGGAAAAUUCAGAAUUACACACGCAGCUCGCACUGCAUUCCCAUGGGUCAGCACUCUCGAGGUGGACUUUUCUCACUGCCUCGAGCUCGGCUGGGCAGACCGGGCCCCACCCCCUGUGCUAUAGUUGGGGAUGGGGCGGGGGGCUGGUGCUGGGGAGAAGAAUCAGCCCCCCACCCACCCUGCAGGUGGGGGUCAGAUCAAGACCCUCCUCUCCCACGCCCCUCCCCCUGGGGCGAGUCCCGCUUCCGGCCCGGCCCACGUCCCUGCGAGGCUUGACUUUUAUUUUUAGCAGCCUCAGCGCCGCUGGCUCUCAAGCUUGCUGGGUGUGGGCCAGCCCCAGGCCACCAUUUCCCUGCCAGCGGGGAUCUCCGGGGACCGGGUUCUACGUUGGGAGCCUCUCAGGGCUGCAGUAGCACUCUGGAGCCACAGGACCAUUGGGUGGAUAAACACAAGCGAGUGAUUUAUCAUCUACGAAGUUUAAUUCCCUUGCACGUAAACUACGAAAAUAAUACCGAGAUACAACCCUUGUCUUAGGGUCUGUGACUGACCGUGCCCGUCCCGGAGCAGCACCGGGUGGCAAUCAACACUCCAAGGUUGGCUUGAUGCUUGACCAGCAUCCUGCCCUCGUUUCCUGAACACCUGCUGUGCAAGGCUCUGGGUGGGUCUGCAAGAUGAAUCAUUUAAGCGGUCACUUACUCAACAAACCUUUUUUUGAGCACUUGCUACUUUGUAUGGGCUUAUUUAUUUAUAGCAUGCCUUGUUCCAGAAAACACAUAACAGAACUUCUGUGUUUGAGAGACUAAAAUUUUAAAGGUGUGGUCACGGGACGAGUGACAAAUGGAAAACAGAAGUUGAAAAGGUCAGAAGAGCCCAGGAAUGAAACAGCGAUCCAAAGUACAGGCCUUGAGGUCCUACGUGGUACAGAGACAGGCUACAGGUUGUCCUCUGAGCUUUCCAGCAGCCAAAACGCUGUUCGGGAUCCAUGAACCAGUUGCAAGAGGAGAAACAUGACUCACGUAGGUCCCAGGACCAGAGAGGCCUUUUCCCGGUGCGUUCGCAGAAGAGACAGAGCAUCAUCAAACAUAGGGAGCGAUGUCCACAACGCUGCACAUACAACACAGGUGUCAGGGGACCUUUCCCGUAGGCCCUCCAUGCUGGCCCAAGUCCUGCAGCCUUUCUGCAGCAGGGAAAGGAUGACAGCACAGGGCAAGCAUGCCUCGCCCUGGCUUAAUCCAUAUGCAGUGUUUGUAGGAAACAUUUACAGCAAACUUACAGUCAACUGGCUAAAUGCAGUCCUCGGGUGAGCUUUGUUUGGCCUGAGAAGGAUAUUUAAAUUGAUUGGAUUACAAGGGGGUAUUUGCACCCAGAUGUUCAUACCAGCGUUAUCAACAAUAGGCAAAUCACAGGGGCACCCGGGGGCUCAGUCGGUUGAGCAUCUGACUUCAG